CCUUUUGAUCAUUUCUAACAUUUGGAUUAAUACUAUUGAGGAUCAGUGGUAGUGUAUCGAUCCUUUACUUAAGUUCUGUGAGUACGAGAACGGGCUACUAUGUCACGCCCCGGGGUCGAUUUUAAAAUCUUUUUAUAACAAUUACUAUUUUAGAAACCAGAGUUGCGGAAAACGUGCCUUUUUUUUUUAUAAUUCAACCUGACCCACGUGACGUACAGACUCGCCACAAAUACAAAGUUCCUCUGACCACACGCACAGAGUCUCCUUUAUAUUUGCACGGAAUACCAACAACAACAUCAGAAUUACAACAAUAACUUACAUUCACCAAUCCACAAAAUAAUUCAUAUGAUGUAUUUCCAUACAGCUAGUGAUCCUUAGAAAUGAUGCAUGCCUCUAAACACUCCUUAGGCGCAAGAUGAUACGAUGCGCAAUACAACAGUUAUCCGAAUUAAAAGUGCUCCCCACCCGUAAGCUUUAUUUUUAAACUUUAUUUAAUCAUUCAUAAAAACCAUUCGAAAACCUUUUAAAACUGUUUCCCACUCAGAAACUCCAUUUUGAAAACCGGCUACCUCGAGAGGUAGAAAACCACGAUGCAUAAAUACAUAAAUCCAAGAACCAAUUAUUUAUAAAAUUCCGUUUGCAUGCAUAAUAGAAAAUCACCAACUCAAACAGGUUCACAAAUACUCAAACAGUAAUAAUAAUCAUCUAACUGAAUCAUUUAAUUAUUUAAAUUACUAAAUACGGAAAAUAAACAUAACCAGGGUGACGGUCGCUAC
rnacentral:lncRNA from 1 species